CAGGUCUUCACAGUGUCUUCACUGCAGCUCUGAUGCUGCUGGACCCCGACUGAUCACUUCAGGAUGUUGAGCUGGGUGGUCAAGGUCGUUCCUCAGCUGCCUCAGCCUUCAACAGUGGGAGAGCAGAAAAAGAUGAAUCCAGACACGCCUCUUCCCACAACCACAUUUUGUGUCACGGAAAGGAAAGUUACAUUUCAAGAUGAGUGCAAAAAUGAAGCUCAGAAAACUAACAAGCUCGAGCAAGAGGAUCCGGCAACAGAAGAAUAUAA